rnacentral:lncRNA from 10 species
AGCGCGGCCUGGGCUCCCGCGUGUUUAAAAGUGCGCUUGUGGCUGCUGCUGUCUUAACUCCUGUGCUUGGCGGACAGACAGGCUGGUCUUGGACUCCUGACCUCAUGAUCCACCCGCCUUGGCCUCCCAAGGUGCUGGGAUUACAGGUGUGAGCCACCGUGCCCAGCCUACCCGUGCUUUCAAAGGUCCUGUAUUUCCACCACUUUGUCACCACAGACAGCCAGAAGGUCAAGCAGCUGGCCUCCACCUUGCUUCCUUCUGGUGCGCAUAUAUAGGAGCCUGAUUAGCAUGUAGAAUCCUAGCAGAAUGGGAGUCUUUGAAAUAGGUUUCAGCUCACCAGCCUCUAGUUACAGGAGGCAUUCUAGAAGGACAUGAGUGGAUUAUAACUGCCAACCAAUUGUAUGUGCCACUGAGGAGAUGGAGAAGCUGUGUCCAGAGCGGUGCUAUAAGGACAGGAGUGUGACACAGGAAGGCUUAGGUACGUGGCCUGGGCCCAGUCUCACAUCUCAGGGUCCUGCUUCAAGUGGGAGCAGUUGAGAUCUGUGACACUCAGCACCUGGGAGGCCGGGUCAGUGAAGGGAGGGUGCUUCUCCUGCCUCAGCCUCCCGAUUACAGGCAUGCACCACCAUGCCCGGCUAAUUUUGUAUUUUUAGUAGAGACAGCGUUUCUCCAUGUUAGGCUGGUCUCAAUCUCCUGACCUCAGGUGAUCUGCCCGCCUCGGUCUCCCAAAGUGCUGGAAUUAUAGGCGUGAGCCACCACGCCCAGCCUUUUGUGAUUACUUUUAAAAUUCAGCUGGGUUUGACACUUGGAGGCUUAAUUUCUGGGAAUGACUGGACACAGCAUGUGGCUGGGACCCUCUGAACAACCUCUGACCUAGUGGAGAAGCAGGUGGUAAUGACUGUAGGUAUGGAUAGGGAAAGACUAGGCGGGCAAAUACUUGUCGUGUGUCAACAGGUGUAUUUUGCUAAAUGUCGGGGACACAUUCCAAGAGGCUAAAAAGCAAAUUUCUGUACAUUAGGAGAUUUGUGAGUCCUUAGGAAAGGCUCAGAAGAGGGCUCCACCUAGCACAAUACCUGACAUAGAAAGUGGUCAGUGUCUGCAGAAUGAGUCGGCAUGAACCGUACUUUCCUUGGCAGGGUUAUUAGGUGGUAAAUACCUGCAGAAUAAUGGGAUUGUACUAGGGUUUCUUCUGGCUUUAGAAACCCAUUUGUUUACUAAUAGAUUCCCAGAGGAUACCUUGAUCUCACCAAGCUAUUUGCCAGAAUGUCUCCUGAUGGCCUCAUUGAAGAAAGGGGGACUAUGAGCCAGAUGCUGGUGCCCUGAAGAUUUGUAGUUUGUGGGAUAGUCUUAACUUGGCAGGGUUUGAUUAACAGAAUGAAGUCUGUUCCUUAGAGGGAAGUCUUUGCUUGCUGCCCUGACCUGCUGGACACUGUUAAUUGGGAUGAGGUCAAAGAAGGCAUAGUUACCACAUUUGCAGGAGACCCUAACCUGGAAAUAGUAAAUUACAUAACAUUCUUUCAAGUGUCUCCUCUUUUAAAAAAGUAUUUUGAUAUAGUUUCACACAGAGAAAA